rnacentral:misc_RNA from 1 species
GUGAAUCAUCGAAUCUUUGAACGCACAUUGCGCCCGCCAGUAUUCUGGCGGGCAUGCCUGUUCGAGCGUCAUUUCAACCAUCAAGCCCCCGGGCUUGUGUUGGGGACCUGCGGCUGCCGCAGGCCCUGAAAACCAGUGGCGGGCUCGCUAGUCACUCCGAGCGUAGUAGUUUACACCUCGCUCAGGGCGUGCUGCGGGUUCCGGCCGUUAAAAGCCUUAUUUUACCCAAGGUUGACCUCGGAUCAGGUAGGAAGACCCGCUGAACUUAAGCAUAUCAAUAAGCGGAGGA